UACGUAGGUGGCAAGCGUUGUCCGGAAUUAUUGGGCGUAAAGCGCGCGCAGGCGGUCCUUUAAGUCUGAUGUGAAAGCCCACGGCUCAACCGUGGAGGGUCAUUGGAAAACUGGGGGGACUUGAGUACAGAAAGAGAAGAGUGGAAUUCCACGUGUAGCGGUGAAAUCGUAGAGAUGUGGAGGAACACCAGGUGGCGAAAGGCGCUCUUUGGUCUGUAAACUGACGU
rnacentral:rRNA from 1 species